UUGUGAGCCACCAUGUGGUUGCUGGGACUUAAACUCAGGAUCUUCAGAAGAGCAGUCGGGUGCUCUUACCCACUGAGCCAUCUCACCAGCCCACAGCUACCUUUGAAGUAACUCCCAGAAACACAGUAUGGUGUUGAGCAAGAUCCUGAGAGGAGACUGAAGGCAUAACUGGCCACCAUGACAGGAAGCUGCCCCGGCUCUACUUCAAGCUGGCGUGAUUCUGGUAGGGUGCAGCCCUGUCGUGGACACCUGCUAGCACUGGUGACGCCCCAGGUUUCUUUCCUCCCCAGCACUACAGAAAACCAGGCACGAUUAAUACCAAUAACCCUACCCUGGCAAGUGUCAGCAAGGAGGAUCAGCAGAGCAAGGUUACCCAUGGCUUUAGAGCAAGUUUGAGGCUAACCUGGACUACAGGAGCCUGUCUCAAAAAAAGGGAAGACAAUGCAUAUUAGUCCAGCCCUCCAUGCCUCUCCUGGCCUCCUGCCUGGUCUUUUCCUACCCAGUUCAGAAAUAAAGUCACAAACGUCUCUGUUUCUUCACCUCAAAGGGUUGGAGCCUCCUAGGUGCUGCAGAGAGAACGGAGAACUCACCUCUCUACGGUUGGAAAUGUGAGUGGCUGCAUGGUCCACGUUCCCAUCGCAGGCCCGCAGGCCCAACCGUGCUUCCUGGGCAGUGAAUCCCAACUGUAACAAGUUGUGAACUUUUGAUGGAUCGAUGUAAAGCUCUUUAAAGAGCUGCCGUGCCUACAAACAGGAAGAAGCAGAGCGCUCACCUCACAGCAGCAAUAAGGCUUAGCAAAGCUAAAGCCCAGGAAUGAGGCUACCAAAUGUGAACUACUAUGUGUGAGAUUCAGACAUGCUGAGCUUGUCUAACCUGCCCACCAUAAGGAAUGAAACAAACACUAUCUCUGCCUGCAUAACAUACCCAUAACUUAGCACCAAUAGGCAGGCUGAAUGCUGCAGGCAUGCCAGAGUGACUCUUUCUUUCUUUCAUUCAUUCCCAGCUUAGCUGGCGGUGGUGGUGCAGGCCUGUAAUCCCAGCAAUGAGGAGGCAAAGGACAUCUGGGCUAUACAGCAAAACAGGCUGCAAAUAGCAUCUAUCUCUCUCCCUUGUAGGUGUGCUGGCUGGGUGGUUGCUAGGUAACUGCAGGUGGUCUCUCUUUUUUUGUUUUAAGGUGUAUUUAUUGUUUAUAUAUGAAUACAUGGUCGCUGUCUUCAAAUACACCAGAAGAGGGCAUUGGAUCCCACUAUAGCUGGUUGUUGUGAGCCAGCAUGUGGUUACUGGAAAUUGAACUCAGGACCUUUGGAAAUGCAGUCAGAGCUCUUAAUUGUUAAGCCAUCUCUCCAGCCCUGGCAGUCUCUUUCUGAGGUACAGGUCUGUUCUGACUCUCUAGCCCUCUCUGCUUGUGGCACACAGAACAGCAGGAACAAUGGAAGCCAAGGCCUGCAGAGCUCUACCCUGGCCUACUCAUGCUAGAGGCAAGGCAGAAACUAGCCAUUUCAAGCCAUUUUAAAGUCUUCAUUACAACCCCCUGCCUGAGCCUCACAGACACAAGUGUUCAUGCUGCAUAUGAGAGAGGGGACCGGACAGAGGUGCAGGGCUCUGACACAUGCGUGACUCAAAGAGUACUCCACUGCCAAGGCAGAGGCAGAGGUGGGGCAGAGCCAGCAGUCUUCCUCACCUUGUUGAGAUAUUCCCGAGCUUCCUGUCCAUUUCCACUGUGAUAGUUUCGGAUUCCCUGAAGCAAGUAGAGUCUUAAAAACAACACCUUCUCUUUCCCACAAUUUCCCUGAAGUUAUUGGGAGAAAAAGAAUAAGUGAUCUUAUUUCUAAUAAAAGACAUGGUCACUGCUCUAACUGUGCCAUGUCUCCACAGUAGUAAGAUGACAAGAUAGCCCAGGGCAUCACUGCUGUCAUUGGGACAACUUCUAAGCAGUAUCUCUUCCACUUGGACGGGAUCAGUCAAGACACUGACUCUAGCCACCACAGGCCAUGACUAAGUCACUGGUUCUUUCCUGGUCAGACUGAGAGUAGUGGUCUACAAUUAGUAAACUCUUUAAAAACCACCACAGCCAGGCGUGGUGGCGCACGCCUUUAAUCCCAGCACUGGGGAGGCAGAGGCAGGCGGAUUUCUGAGGCCAGCCUGGUCGACAGAGUUCCAGGACAGCCAGGUCUACACAGAGAAACCCUGUCUCGAAAAACCAAAAAAAAAAAAAAAAAAAAAAUACAGGAACAGUCUGGGCUAUAUGAGACUGUCUCAAACAAAAACAAAAAUCAAACAAACAAAAAAACCAAAAACACAACAACUAACAAAACAGAACACAACAAAAACCCAGCCAGAUUCAUUAAACUCUCAAAACCUGCUAAAGCUCUGGCUAAUAAAGGGGGGAAGGGGGUAUAUAUGCUGCUAACACUCUGGCUAGUAAAGAGGGUAUUGUAUUGUAUGCUGCUGCCCAGCUCAAUCACCUCUGGCAGCAGCUCCCACAUCUAGGCAGAUGUGCCCCACAAGCGGGCUGAGACAACCAAUCACAGUGACCUACUUUUAUGUGGACCAGUCUCUGGUGAUUCUCUCCGUAACAGUUUUUAAAGCAUUUCUGGGCCAAGUUCAGCUUUUUCUCUGCAUCAUCAAGGCAUUCCAACUGUUCCAGGCGGAAGUAGCACCACACAAUGUCCAGCUGGAGAACUGCAUAGUUGUCCACAGUGUCCAGCAGCCCUUUGCACUCACUACAAGAGAAGGAAGCUGUCAUGGCAGGGCCCUUCAUGGGUCCCCAGAAAGCCUUUUAGCUCUUGGUGUGUUUCUAGGAUUAACUAGUGGGGUAUUUACAAUAGGGAUCCUCUGAAUGGAUAAAGAGAAAUUAGGGUUCUUGACAGCAACAUGGUGGCAUCUGGCCCAGGACACAGUGGCUUCUAGCCCUGGCUAUGAACUACAAUCACCCAGACACAGGAGUCCUUCUCUGGGGAUACUGAUGCUGAGACCUAAUUAGGGCAACAGUAGCAAAGCAAAGCUCUCCAGGACAGAAGCUGGUUGUCUCACUGCUAAAAUUUCCCCAGGAGAUUCUAACAUGCGUAAAGGUUGACACAUGGCUUUAAAGACACCCUGAAACCUGCUACUCCCUAAAAAUGCUCCAGCUGAUGGUAGUUCUAACAAGACAUUCAGUGCUCAGGGACUUUCUCAUUGGGGGAACAGUCUGGAGAACACCAGGCUAAAUGCCUAGCUGACUCCUGAGGGCCCAUGAACAGGCUGAGCCAGACACAAGGAAAGCAAUGAAGACACUAUUCAUGAACUAUUUAUUUAUACUUUGUUAUAAUGCUCAAUGCAUAAUGCAGACCUAGCCCUCAAAUCAAAAAAGUAUCUGCAAACACAGUCCACACAGAUAUCUCCAAAGCUUUGUCCAUCUACUUCCAAUGGGAUGCUGUUAAAUAGCUUUUUUUUUAAACCUUGCCUAUCUAGACAUGUUCAUCCCGAAGUCUAAUGAAAUAGAUUUUGUUAUCACCCACCAGGCUGCACACAGUCCAAUGGGGGCAAGGACACAGAGAACAAUGUUUUUGCAUGCUUUCAUCCCUACCUCUUCUAGCAUUCCUAUUUAGUCAUGAAUAUCUGACAACAUACAUGCCAUGUGGCUACACACACACAGACACAGGAUGAGGGGUGGGGGUGGGGUAGGCCCAGGGAAAGAACAUCUUCAACACAGCCUGAAAACUUGACUUGAGAAGAGGCAGAAAGGCUGUAGGUAGAAAUGUGCUCUCAUAUCAAGGGAGAUGCCCUCAUCUGCAACCUGCUGACAGGUUCACCUUCUGAGACAGAAAGGCUUAACCACUCAUAAAGUGCAAUGGGCACUCUGCCCCGCAUUAACUUCCAAGGUUAUGAAAAGCUCUUCCAAUACCUGCUGGACAAGCAACAAGGACAGAAAUGACCCAGAACUGAACUGUGUGUGGCCAGAACACAAAAUGAAAAAUAUAUCAAAAUCCAGGUCUCCUAUUAAAGGGGAUGUUUUAUUCUAUUACUUUCAAAACAAAAACAAAAACCAAACAUCAGGCCGGCAUGGUGGUGCACACCUUUAAUCUCAGGACUCAGGAGACAGAGGUAGGCAGAUCUCUGAGUUUGAGGCCAAUCUGGUCUGCCUAGAGUUUCAGAAUAACUACGACUACCAGCCAGGACUCUGUCUCAAAAAAAGAAAGAAAAGAAGAGAAAAGGAGGAGAGGAGAAAAGAAAGAAAGAGAAAAGAAGCCAACACCUGCACACUGUAGUUUUGAAGCCGAUAGGCUUAAAUUUAAACCUGAGCAUGCCAACUGGGAAGUUAAAAAAAAAAAAUCAAAACAAACAAAAACCUAGCAUAAAACUGUUUUAAAGAACAGCCAGGGCUACACAGCAAAACCAUUUCAAAACACCAAAAGAAAAAAAAAGUGUAUUUCUAUAUAAUAAUGACUUGGUUUGCAAUUUUAAAAGCUUUGCUAUUCAACAAAUUUUCAUGUUGAAACAGUUUUAAAAUGAAAGCACUAAAGUUACUUUGACUUAACACUGCUUACCAGAAUUUUUCAUUUAUUUAUGUAUGUAUGUGUUUGUGUGUUUUGUGUAUGUGCCCAUGCAGUAGCUAUGGAGACCAGAAGAGAGUGUUUCUUGGGGGAUGUUUCUGUGCACUGAGUAUUCAUCUGAAUGUUACUUCUGUACUUGGAGAUAAAUACGGUUGCAGCCCAGACUUUGGGACUGCCCUUGUGAUGAAGCAUUCCUGACUCAGUAUUUUGUAAAACAUUGUUCUCUGUUAUCUCACUGGUCAACAGGGUCAACCAGCCUAUGGCUGGGCAGGAGAGGGAAAAGUGGAACUUCUGUCCCCAGAGAGAGAGGAGAGGGAUUCAGGGGGAAUUCUGAUUGACCUGCCUGUCUGGUUCGCAAUGUCUAAGUAAGGCAUCGUUUCCGGAUCAUCCACCAUCUCAGCUGCAACAAAGCCACAGGAGCCUCGUUAAUUAAGGACCAAAGGGCACUUGAGAUGCCAGACUGUGGAGGACUCCACAGCAGGCACACUGCUCAUGUGUGUGCGUGCUGCCUGAUGCAUUUUGGUGACAAACCAAAAUGGUGUACCUCUCUCCGCCAGGAUCUCUAGUCCCCGUUUGGUCCUCUGAAUGCGUCUCUCCUUCAGCUCGGCCUCGUUCUGUUCCUCUUCCUCUAGCUGUAAGUUUUUCCUCACAUCCUCUUCAGACUGUUUCAGCUCCAGCACCAUCGCCUUCACAUUGUGAGUAACUCCUUGUUCUUCAAGGCGUUUCCCUGGGAACAGCAGAAUUGCCUGUCACAUAAACUUCCUGGGCACAGUCCAUUUCCUGUGGUAAAUGGAGUUCUUUUCUUAAUUAAAUAAUUUCUUUAUUUUGG
ensembl:antisense